rnacentral:lncRNA from 1 species
AUGAAAAAAAUGAAAACAGCAAAAAUGGAAAAUAUUACAGAAAAAAAAGAAGAUACCUUUAAAACAUCUAAAUCAUUAGAUAAAAUUUUAGAGAUUCCGUUAUUAACGCACAAGAAAUUGGCACUAAAAGACAUCUUGAGACAAAAUAAAGACUUAAGUGUAAAACAUGCGAAUAUUAAAAAAACACUCAGCGAAAAAGAAAAAAAUUUUAGUUUAAAAGAAAAGGAAUACAAUAAAAAUCGAGAAAAAGUAACAAAAGAAUAUCAAAAUACUAUGAAAGAAAAUCAUGAUAGACAAGUAUUUUUAGAAGAAAAAAUAAAAAAAAAAGAAAAAAAAAUAGAGCAAUAUGAUUUACAAAUCAAAGAAUUUAAACUCACCAUUGAGGAUAUGCAUAAACGUAUAACAAAGGCGAAUAGUGACGUAAUAGAAAAGGAAAAAUGCCUUAACUUUUUAAACAAAUUCCAAAAAAAUACGACUGGAUUUGUUCAGCUAGAUAUUUUUGACAGAAUGGAAACAAUAUUUAAUUCAAGAGAAUUUAUAAAAAAAAAAAAAGAUAAAUUGAAAGAAAAAAUAAAUACUAUAAAAACAAAAAUUAAAGAUACUGAAAAAAAAAACAAUUUAACCUUAAAAAAUAAAGAAACAGAGUGUAAAGACCUAAAACGUACUGCAGAACAGAUUGCAGUGAGAGAAAAUGAAAUAAAAACGAAAUUAAAGGAAAACAUAAACGAACAUAAUAAAAAAGCUUUGUUAUUAUAUAAAAUAUAUUCUUGUGUAGAUAAUUUUUUAAAUCGUUUUGUUUCAUUUCUGCCUGAAUUACGUCAUUAUAACCUAAUGAAAGAGGAAGAAAAAUUAAACCUGGAAAAAAAAGCAAAAAUUGCGGAUUUAAAAGAAGGGGCAUAUGAAAUAGAAUUAGAAGACUUUUAUCAUAUAGAGGAAGAUAUUAUUAAAAAGUUUGAUGUAAUCUACAAAUAUAUAAGAGACACAAUACAUAUAAUUAAUAAAGUUAAAAAAGAAAUAACGUUAAAAGAAGAAAGCCAAGUGGAACUAGUUAAAAACGACAUAGAUGAAGAGGUUGAAUUUUGUACAUACAACAAUAUUAAAGGCAAAAAUAAUUAAUAUAAAAAUGUAAGCAUUUGUGAAAGAAAUGAACAAAUAGACAAAUGAAAGAUAAAACUGAAAGGAAUAGAUAAUGUAUAAACUACUUAAGUCGUUUAUUUUAUUCUUUUUUUUUCUGUUAUUGUCUUUUUUCGAUUGCAUAAAAAACUGCAGCACUCAGGUGUAAUUCCGUUAACGUAAGAUACUUGUUCUAAAAAUUUAAAAUAGUCCACUUUUUUUUUCUGAUUUGAUAAAAAAUAAGGCAAAAUAUUAUUUUUAAUAUUAACAAACUUUGAAAUAGAUUUUAAAGAAUGUAGACCUAUAUUUCCUGAAUACAAUAAAUCAAAAUUAAUGUUUUGAUACCA